CAGCAGCCACGGGAAUACGAAGGGUGCAAGCGUUAAUCGGAAUUACUGGGCGUAAAGCGUGCGUAGGCGGUGAGUUAAGUCUGCUGUGAAAUCCCCGGGCUCAACCUGGGAAUGGCAGUGGAUACUGGCUCGCUAGAGUGUGUCAGAGGAUGGUGGAAUUCCCGGUGUAGCGGUGAAAUGCGUAGAGAUCGGGAGGAACAUCAGUGGCGAAGGCGACUAUCUGGGCCAACACUGACACUGAGGCACGAAAGCGUGGGGAGCAAACAGGAUUAGAUACCCGCGUAGUCCCUGUCUCUUAUAA
rnacentral:rRNA from 1 species